AAAUAAGAAGCAAAAUAUUGCAUCUAGUUUCGACCUAGAAGUUUGAUCCAUGAUCCUUAUUUU
rnacentral:tRNA from 1 species